UGAACGCUAGCGGCAGGCUUAACACAUGCAAGUCGAGGGUAGAAGCAGCUUGCUGCUUUGAGACCGGCGCACGGGUGCGUAACGCGUAUGCAAUCUACCUUUUACAGAGGGAUAGCCCAGAGAAAUUUGGAUUAAUACCUCAUAGUAUGUGAGAAUCGCAUGGUUUUCACAUUAAAGUCACAACGGUAAAAGAUGAGCAUGCGUCCCAUUAGCUUGUUGGUAAGGUAACGGCUUACCAAGGCAACGAUGGGUAGGGGUCCUGAGAGGGAGAUCCCCCACACUGGUACUGAGACACGGACCAGACUCCUACGGGAGGCAGCAGUGAGGAAUAUUGGACAAUGGGCGCAAGCCUGAUCCAGCCAUGCCGCGUGCAGGAUGACGGUCCUAUGGAUUGUAAACUGCUUUUGUACAGGAAGAAACACUCCCUCGUGAGGGAGCUUGACGGUACUGUAAGAAUAAGGAUCGGCUAACUCCGUG
rnacentral:rRNA from 1 species